CAAAGGCUGCUGUUCGCCUGCAGCAGCAGCCAUCUUCCCCGCCCACUGACUCUAUACGUGAUGUGAGUGGCCUGACCAGAAUUUGUUUUUUCCAGCUCUCAAGCCAACGGAGAGUUGCUAGACCGACCCUAGCUGCA